UUUUUUUCGUCUGAAUGAUUAUAUAACAAAGGUGAAUUACAUUGUCGGAAUACAAAGGCCGGCGGGACUUUAACCCCCAGAAACUAAGCCGGCGAGACUUUAACCCCCAAAGACUAAACCCAAACAAGGGAAACGAGGCCCUAAAUUACAGGGAAAGAAACAAGGAAUAAAUGAAAACUAAAACAAGAGACUCAACAAAUUAAAUCUAGAAUCUAGCACAAACUCCAUACCUACCAAAUCAAAACCAUGACUGGAAUGCCUUACACAAAGCAAACCGAAGCAGCAAAGCGAGACAACGAUAAGCGGUUCCUCCUAUAGUGGAUUGAGACUACCUCACAAUGAAAGAGUUCCUAGGCGAUCACACCAGCAAGACAAGAUCCAAGCCAAAAGCAACAUGAUCAAAAUAUUUCUCCCGGUAGCGGCGAAGUCGAAAGAAUAAACCCCGACAAGUUAACGCCUCGAAAGAAGCCUUUGAACAGAUCAGAUCUCGAUCUGACUUAUAGAGUAGAGACAAAGAGCGAACCAAACCCGAACCGGACCACACCGAAUACGAAAGAACCGGUGAAAGAUCGAAACCGGAGCGAGACGAAGACAACUUCCAGAGAAGAAGAAAACAUUAGAA
rnacentral:lncRNA from 1 species